CUUCGCCUGGAGACUCCGCGGGAGGGCGGCAGAGCGGAGGUCAGGGCUCUAGGCGGAGGACGAGGCGUGGGCUUCUUCCUCAGGCCAGGGAAAGCAGAGAAUAUGAAAGCCUAUCUAAAGAGUGCAGAAGGCUAUUUUGUCCUGAAUAAAAGCACUACGAUUGGAAGGCAUGAAAAUUCAGACCUUGUUUUAGAGUCUGCAGACGUCGACAACCAUCACGCACUCAUUGAAUAUAAUGAGGCCGAAAGCAGCUUUGUUCUCCACGAC